UACGAAGGGGGCGAGCGUUGUUCGGAAUUACUGGGCGUAAAGGGCGCGUAGGCGGCCCGACAAGUCGCAUGUGAAAGCCCCGGGCUCAACCUGGGAAUGGCGUGCGGGACUGUUGGGCUGGAGUUCGGGAGAGGAGCGUGGAAUUCCCAGUGUAGAGGUGAAAUUCGUAGAUAUUGGGAAGAACACCGGUGGCGAAGGCGGCGCUCUGGACCGACACUGACGCUGAGGCGCGAAGGCGUGGGGAGCAAAC
rnacentral:rRNA from 1 species